UACAGAGGGGGCAAGCGUUGUUCGGAAUUACUGGGCGUAAAGGGCGCGUAGGCGGCCUGUUAAGUCGAACGUGAAAUCCCCGGGCUCAACCCGGGAACUGCGUCCGAUACUGGCAGGCUUGAAUCCGGGAGAGGGAUGCGGAAUUCCAGGUGUAGCGGUGAAAUUCGUAGAUAUUAGGAAGAACACCGGUGGCGAAGGCGGCCCACUGGAUCGGUACUGACGCUGAGGUGCGAAAGCGUGGGGAGCAAACAGG
rnacentral:rRNA from 1 species